rnacentral:rRNA from 1 species
GACGAACGCUGGCGGCGUGCCUAAUACAUGCAAGUUGAGCGAUGAAGAUUGGUGCUUGCACCAAUUUGAAGAGCAGCGAACGGGUGAGUAACGCGUGGGGAAUCUGCCUUUGAGCGGGGGACAACAUUUGGAAACGAAUGCUAAUACCGCAUAACAACUUUAAACAUAAGUUUUAAGUUUGAAAGAUGCAAUUGCAUCACUCAAAGAUGAUCCCGCGUUGUAUUAGCUAGUUGGUGAGGUUAAGGCUCACCAAGGCGAUGAUACAUAGCCGACCUGAGAGGGUGAUCGGCCACAUUGGGACUGAGACACGGCCCAAACUCCUACGGGAGGCAGCAGUAGGGAAUCUUCGGCAAUGGACGAAAGUCUGACCGAGCAACGCCGCGUGAGUGAAGAAGGUUUUCGGAUCGUAAAACUCUGUUGGUAGAGAAGAACGUUGGUGAGAGUGGAAAGCUCAUCAAGUGACGGUAACUACCCAGAAAGGGACGGCUAACUACGUG